AAAUAAAAAAUUUCGUUACUUAAAAGGCACACAAUGGUGUUAUAAAAUUAUUAUAUAUAGAUAUCUAAAAAAUAAAUAAUAAAUUCAUAGGCAAAUGUUACAAGUGUCCAUGUACAUAUGUAUACAUACAUACUUAUAUAUUUUAGGCUGUUGUCGUCUCAACUUUUCUUUCUUUGUCUUCUUGGGAUGAUGGUCCAGUCUUAGAGAUGGGAACCACGCGUUCUGUAUUUGGUGGAGGCAACUUCUUCAUGGGAGCGGUAACUGUUAAGAGUCCAUCUGAAGAUAGCGAUGAAGUAACACUGUCGGGAUUGACGUCAUCUAAAGAAUGAUAAAUAAUAUGUUGGUAGAGAUUCAUGGAAAAUUUAAAUGAGAACAUACUUGGUAAUAGAUAACGUCUAGUAAAUUGUCUGGAUACAAAGCCAUGUUCAUCUUGCUUUUCUUCAUGCUUUGCCUCUACAAUGACAAAUUUGUCGGUAACCUUGACACUGAUUUCGUUGGGUGUGAACUGUUGGACAUCCAAAAUAACUUCAAAUUUCUCUUCGUUAAUAUUUAAAGUAGAGCCAGAAUCUUGUUUUUGCAAUCCUGUGGUACGCUGCCAAGGGCGUAAAUAUCCAGAGCGCAACAUUGUUGGACGAGAGUUCCAUACGGAGGACAACAAAUCAUCACGUCUAAUAAAAAAUUAAAAUGUAAUCAAGUAAGUAAAACAAAAUGUGUUUAACUUACUUUAAUCCGGUACCGAAAUGCUGGUCCAAGAGACGCGAUGUGCGUGUUGGAAACUCAAGUUCAUCCCACCAGUCACGGAACAUUAAAGGUACUACUGACAUCUACGUUAUACAAAGAAAAAAAAUAGAACACUAAUGGUAAUUAAUUUAAAUCACCACCAAAUGUUGAAAAAAUAUUUAUAUUAUAAACAACUAAUUAUUUUCCAAACAAAUUAUAAAUAUAUAUUCUUAUAAUAAUCACAUUAACCGAUAUUUUAUUCGGAUUUAAAUUAUUUAAUUAUGCUUUCUUAAACUUUAAUAAAAUUUUGAGAAUUUUUAAUAUAUAUAUAUAAUUAUUUUUCACUUUAUUAUUAAAUGUAUUUCUUAAUUUAGAAACUGAUUCACUUGUCGUAUUCGCACCUUUAUUAUCUAUUUGUAUAUAUACACUUUCACCUGAGAUGUUCUCACGUCCGAUAUAAUUUUAUUAAUAAUACUGAUUUUUAAUUUUCCAACAGUUUUUAUAUUAGAAAAUUUUUGCCCGUUCUUUAUUUCAUCAUCAUCCUUAUAAUCAUCAUUUUAUUAACACACAGACUGAUAUAUAGUAUGGUAUAUAUGUACAUUCAUACAAAAACAGAAAUAAUAAACUUAGAAUAUCAUUAAGGUGUCCAAAAAUUUGAUAUAACUAAAACAAUUUGUUGGUAAAUUAUUAAAAAAAACUUCUUUAUUAAACUGAGAAGAUUGGAAUCAAUAAUACUGAAUUAAAUUUAUAUUUUCAAAAUUGAAUAGGUCUUUUUUCGAUCGUUGUUCUUCGAUGCUUGUUUUUUUAUUUGAAAAUUAAAAUAUAAUUCUGCUCCCUAUACAUAAGUGCAUUUGAAUUAAAAAAUGUACUUAGUGUUGACACAAAAUUAUAUUUUUUAUUUCACGUUAUAUUUAUUUUUUGAAAUGGAAACUAGGCAAAAUCGUAGACCUAUAUUGCAAAUUUUCAAUACCAAACUGGGUCAACUUUACUCUAUAGAGUUUUCAACAUGGUUAGAUCGUCUUGCUUUUGUAGGUUUACGACCAAUAUUUCAAUAUGUUACAAACGGAAUGCCAAAAUCAAUACACCAUCUUAAUUGCUUUAUUACUAGAGAAGUAGUUUUAUACCCAUCAUCAAAAAAGAUGGGGGUAUAUUGGUUAUGUCUGUUGAAAGCAUGAUAGAGUCCGAACGGAAAGAGCUAGAGAGUUGAAAAUUUCAACAGUAAGGUUUGUUUGGAAUUGAAAAUUGACAAUAUCGGUAAACGUUUUCGCAUAGCCCCCAAAUACAGCUUUGACACUCAUAUCUAUUUUAAAAAUGCAAGUAUAGCAAUGAAAUUCGACAUAAUUAAGCCGUAUAUGAGUCGAAUUCUCUCUACCAAAUUUUAUGAGGAUCGGUCCAUAAUUGAAACUAAUUCUCAUAUAUGGUUCCCUCCAAACAAUGACUUUACCGCCCAUUAAUGACUUAAAAAUUUGAGUUUAGUUUUAAAAUUCGAUAUAGUUAAGAUUCUUGUGAAGAUCGGUCCAUAAUUAACCCUACCCCUAUAUAAGGUCCCCCUUUAGAAAAUGACCCUAACGCCCACUAAUGGCAUGAAAGCACGAGUAUACUAAAAUUUGACAUAAGUAAGUUUUUUAUGAACACAAACCUAUCUACCGAGUUUUAUAAGAAUCGGUCCAUAAUUGGCCCUUCCCCCAUAUAAGGCCCGGCCCUCUUUAGAAAACUAAUUUAACGCAAAUUCCAUUUACAGCAUACGAUUUAAUGGUGGGUAUAUAAGUUUCGGCAUAGUCGAAUAAAACACUAUUACUUGUUUUUGUUGGUUUUUACAUUUUACAAAAGAAUAAAAGCAAACAGCAUUUAAUACAAUUGUUUGCAAAAAAAUAACUGAAACAAAUAAAUAAUUCACAUAUUCAUAAUUCACACAUGUAAAGCAAAAAUAACUAAUUUUGAUUAAUAAUUAAGCUAAAAUCGGAAUUUAAUAAUGAGAAAAUAUUUUGAAAAUUUCAAACAUCUAGUUUUCUAUAUAAAAUUAUUGGGUACCCUCUUACUAUUAUAAAUAAAAAAAAAUAAAUUUUGAAUCAAACAUAAACAAAAUAAUAUUUGGCGUACGUAUUAUUUUUUAUAUUCUAAUUUUAGAAGAACGUCAUAUUAUUAGUAUGUAUUUAGUGUAUUUUUGAACUGUACGAAAGAUUUUCUUGAGAGCGCGUGGGAAAAUUAUUUGUUUGUUUAUAUUUAUAACUCGGUGUUAUUCAUUGACUGCAGAAAUAAAUAUAAGAUCGUGUCUCUGCCGGCCACCUGACCAUUGAAUUUUUGCCAUAAGAAGAAAGGUUUCAACAAUAAGAACAAAAACAUACAAGGAUGUGUCCUGUUAUGAAUCUGUUUCACGCAGGCCCUUUGAAUCUAUCCAGCAGUAUAACCAUUUUACCAGCAAGGUGGAAAUCAAAGACACUCUUAAACAAUUUGUUAAUCAUCUGACCUUUCAUCCGAAAUAUCCUUUGGCAAAUGUAUUUGUAGUGCCUAAGAUAAGAUGCAGAGCAAUGCAUUUGUGGUAGCCUGUUAAGUAAUUCUAUUUUUAAAUUGAUUUAUUUGUAUGUACAUAAAUAUUUUUACGAAUAAUUUAAUUUCAUUUAUAUCUGUCCUAAAAUGUUUUGGCAGUAUGAAAUAAAAAUUUAACGACUUCU